AUAUAUAUAUGAGCAUAUGUACUAAAAUUGGAACGACACAGAGAAGAUUAGUCUGGCCCCUGAGCAAGGAUGACAUGCAAAUUUGUGAAGCGUUAAUCAAGAGA